rnacentral:rRNA from 2 species
UUAAAUUGAAGAGUUUGAUCAUGGCUCAGAUUGAACGCUGGCGGCAGGCCUAACACAUGCAAGUCGAACGGUAACAGGAAGCAGCUUGCUGCUUUGCUGACGAGUGGCGGACGGGUGAGUAAUGUCUGGGAAACUGCCUGAUGGAGGGGGAUAACUACUGGAAACGGUGGCUAAUACCGCAUAACGUCGCAAGACCAAAGAGGGGGACCUUCGGGCCUCUUGCCAUCAGAUGUGCCCAGAUGGGAUUAGCUUGUUGGUGAGGUAACGGCUCACCAAGGCGACGAUCCCUAGCUGGUCUGAGAGGAUGACCAGCCACACUGGAACUGAGACACGGUCCAGACUCCUACGGGAGGCAGCAGUGGGGAAUAUUGCACAAUGGGCGCAAGCCUGAUGCAGCCAUGCCGCGUGUAUGAAGAAGGCCUUCGGGUUGUAAAGUACUUUCAGCGGGGAGGAAGGUGUUGUGGUUAAUAACCGCAGCAAUUGACGUUACCCGCAGAAGAAGCACCGGCUAACUCCGUGCCAGCAGCCGCGGUAAUACGGAGGGUGCAAGCGUUAAUCGGAAUUACUGGGCGUAAAGCGCACGCAGGCGGUCUGUCAAGUCGGAUGUGAAAUCCCCGGGCUCAACCUGGGAACUGCAUUCGAAACUGGCAGGCUUGAGUCUUGUAGAGGGGGGUAGAAUUCCAGGUGUAGCGGUGAAAUGCGUAGAGAUCUGGAGGAAUACCGGUGGCGAAGGCGGCCCCCUGGACAAAGACUGACGCUCAGGUGCGAAAGCGUGGGGAGCAAACAGGAUUAGAUACCCUGGUAGUCCACGCCGUAAACGAUGUCUACUUGGAGGUUGUGCCCUUGAGGCGUGGCUUCCGGAGCUAACGCGUUAAGUAGACCGCCUGGGGAGUACGGCCGCAAGGUUAAAACUCAAAUGAAUUGACGGGGGCCCGCACAAGCGGUGGAGUAUGUGGUUUAAUUCGAUGCAACGCGAAGAACCUUACCUGGUCUUGACAUCCACAGAAGAAUCCAGAGAUGGAUUUGUGCCUUCGGGAACUGUGAGACAGGUGCUGCAUGGCUGUCGUCAGCUCGUGUUGUGAAAUGUUGGGUUAAGUCCCGCAACGAGCGCAACCCUUAUCCUUUGUUGCCAGCGAUUAGGUCGGGAACUCAAAGGAGACUGCCAGUGAUAAACUGGAGGAAGGUGGGGAUGACGUCAAGUCAUCAUGGCCCUUACGACCAGGGCUACACACGUGCUACAAUGGCGCAUACAAAGAGAAGCGACCUCGCGAGAGCAAGCGGACCUCAUAAAGUGCGUCGUAGUCCGGAUUGGAGUCUGCAACUCGACUCCAUGAAGUCGGAAUCGCUAGUAAUCGUGGAUCAGAAUGCCACGGUGAAUACGUUCCCGGGCCUUGUACACACCGCCCGUCACACCAUGGGAGUGGGUUGCAAAAGAAGUAGGUAGCUUAACCUUCGGGAGGGCGCUUACCACUUUGUGAUUCAUGACUGGGGUGAAGUCGUAACAAGGUAACCGUAGGGGAACCUGCGGUUGGAUCACCUCCUUACCUGAAAGAAGC